UACAGAGGGGGCAAGCGUUGUUCGGAAUUACUGGGCGUAAAGGGCGCGUAGGCGGCCUGUUAAGUCGAACGUGAAAUCCCUGGGCUCAACCCAGGAACUGCGUCCGAUACUGGCAGGCUUGAAUUCGGGAGAGGGAUGCGGAAUUCCAGGUGUAGCGGUGAAAUGCGUAGAUAUCUGGAGGAACACCGGUGGCGAAGGCGGCAUCCUGGACCGAUAUUGACGCUGAGGCGCGAAAGCGUGGGGAGCAAACAGG
rnacentral:rRNA from 1 species